UACGUAGGUCCCGAGCGUUGUCCGGAUUUAUUGGGCGUAAAGCGAGCGCAGGCGGUUAGAUUAGUCUGAAGUUAAAGGCUGUGGCUUAACCAUAGUACGCUUUGGAAACUGUUUGACUUGAGUGCAAGAGGGGAGAGUGGAAUUCCAUGUGUAGCGGUGAAAUGCGUAGAUAUAUGGAGGAACACCGGUGGCGAAAGCGGCUCUCUGGACUGUAACUGACGUGGAGGCUCGAAAGUGUGGGUAGCAAACAGG
rnacentral:rRNA from 1 species